GCCCGGGCAGGGGGAGGGCCCGCUCACCUCGGUAGCGGCGCGACGCGAGGUGGCACGCGGCGAGCAGCAGCACGGCCACCAGCGCCAGCACCUUGGCGCUCCUCACGCUGAAGUAGUGGUUGAUCUCCCGCUUGCCCAGAGUCAAAUUUGUGUCCCCAAAUGUGUGGGUUCAUCCACUGGAGCCUGGUGAAACUACCAAGAGUUUCACUCUUAAACAAGACUGAAUCUCCUCCCCACAGCAGCCCUUGGUUGCCAAUAGUUCCUCAGGCCUGUUGAGUCUAAUCUGUGUUUCCUAAAUGUUCUUGAGUAUGAGUCUAUCCCUUGGAGUUUGGCCAACCUCCCAGACAUCACACCGGGCUAUUGCUGCCAUGGUGACAGAGGAGAAAAAUCUGAAAUAAGUGGCAGAGCAGAAAGAAGCAGUGGUCUAUCCCCCUACCGUUGCAUGAGGAGAAGACAGAGGGAGCACCUGGGAUCCAUGACAGUCCUCUGAAGGACAGGCAGUUGGUAGCUGCUGCAAAGGAACAUCAAAGCCCAGUGCUUCAAACCUAAGAAUCAAAUCCUUGCCAUCAUGUGUGUCACAUACUCAGGUUUAAGCAUGGAACUUCACACCUUCAGAAGUGCACGGGUGACAAGAGACUGACAGAGAUGCAAAUGAGAGGGUCUAGAUACUUUGGGAGAUGUGAGGAAUAGUGUGGACCCAGACAGCCUAACUCCAGAGCCCCACUGGACAUAGGUUUAGAUUGUCAUUUAGUUCAUUUUAAAUGACCAGUGCAAGAAAGAGAAUUGUUCACUUAUGCCUCUCCCCACCUCCAAUGUCAUGUGUUGAUUAUAUUUGGUUUGGGGACUGAGUGUAUAAAUAUAUAGCUCAAACUGUCUGUGAAAGUGCUCCAAACUGCUGUCUUUCCUGAUCUGAUGUCUGGAACUAUAGAAAUGUGCUCUGAAGAAACCCACAAACAAGCAAUUAGUUUACUUUUAUGUUCAUUUUUGCUUCUAAAAUGUGUGAUAAGUGCUGUUUCACACUGUUCUUUUCAGGUCUUUCCAACAAAGACAUCUGGCCCUACAAGCCCUCUGGUAACUUCCACUACUUUCAACCACAGUGCUGCCUUGGUUGAAGGCUUCGGGCAUUUUCUUGACAAUUCAAAUAUGCUCUUUGCUCUUCAUGAUGAUCUCCCUUGUCAUGUUGUAUUUUGCUUUUUGCAGUAGUUAAAAUUUACACAAUUACUAGAGACGAUGUAAAUUUUCAUCACAAUCCUAUCUGAAAUCUGGAUUUAGGAGCACAUGAGAAAUGGUCUUGUUAACAGAUAGCUUUUAUUUUCCAAACUCCAUAUUUAGUGGAGGUAAUUUUGUUGCAUGUUGUGGAGUGCUUUUACUUGUGAUUAUUUCUUCAGGUUUUGCCUUUUCUGUUUUUAGUCACAAUUAAAGAGCAGCGCCAGCUGCUAAAGUUGUGGUGUCAGUCAUUUGAAGCAGUUUCCCCCUUUGCACCGCUGAGCAGGUCCCUUGAAAACUUGGGAUGUGUAUAUGUUGAGGUUGCCACCCGCUGGUGAAAAUAGAGAAUUUCCAUUUUAAUGAGCGAUUGGGUGUGGGGUGGGGGGAGGAUGUUUUCUGUUUUCUGCUAUGAAUUUGCAUGUUGGGAUCUUUUCAAAGAUAAGUUUCAAACUCCCCUGGAAGAUGAAGAAUUUCACAAUUAGGAGUUUGGCUGGAUGAAUAAAACUGUCACUAUUAUGAAACCAUUUAAAGACUUGUUUACAUCCCCUGGAACCUCUACAGAAAGGAGAAAGAAGUUACAAAAUUCAAAGGAUCAGAAUGUUGCAUCUGUGAUUGCUACUGAGUCCUAAGAGGAAACCAACUUUUCUUGCUCCUUCUUAUGUGUGCUGCAUGUGUGUGCAUGCUGUGGGAAGCUUGCAUUGCUCUAAAACAAGAGGAAAGAGUUCUCUUUGUGUGUAAACUGAAAUGUAAGUCUUUAAUAAUAAUGCUUUAUGAUGUGUAAGAAAAAAAAAGCCCACCACCUUAAAUCAGUGCCACAUUGAACUAAACAGAUAGAAAAGGAAGAAAAACCCAGGGCCUGAGCUGCAGCUAUCAUCACUCCACUGACACAAAAUGAAAUUCACAUACACACGUAAGGAUUUAUGACGUGGUAAAGACACCAUGUCAACCUGUGGACAAGGAUACUUGCUAACCUCACAUUGUAUCUCUAACAUAUUCCAGGUGUGAUGAAUUACACAUUAACAAAUAUAAAGUAUACACAGGAAUGUUCAGGUGAAGCAAAAGUGCUAAGAAGAAUAUAGAGGGAAACUUCUUUGUGUGAACAUCACCCCUGAAAUAAAUGAUAAAAUGAGAAAAUAACUUUUGCAGGCAGAACUGGCAAAAGACAAAUAAGACACCUUUAAAAAAAGUCUGUCUGCAUUUGAAAAACACAUUACUAACCAGAGUGCAUGACAUUUUAUUCAAAAUGAAAAAUGUUAUCUAUAAAAUUCAUCAAGAUUUUAAAUAUUUCCUUAUACUGAAGGAUGUGAAAAGUGCUUUAUACUAUAGAACUGGGUUGCUACUUUAAAUUGUUCCUUAAAAUAAAUAUAAUAACAUGGAAAUGGUGAUAUCAAAUUUAAAUUAAAAAUAGGGUUUAAACAACAAUGCAAUUUUGUUCAGAUGCAUCUACAUAGAAAAAUAUUAUCCAAA